GACGAACGCUGGCGGCGUGCUUAACACAUGCAAGUCGAACGGAAAGGCCCUGCUUUUGUGGGGUGCUCGAGUGGCGAACGGGUGAGUAACACGUGAGUAACCUGCCCUUGACUUUGGGAUAACUUCAGGAAACUGGGGCUAAUACCGGAUAGGAGCUCCUGCUGCAUGGUGGGGGUUGGAAAGUUUCGGCGGUUGGGGAUGGACUCGCGGCUUAUCAGCUUGUUGGUGGGGUAGUGGCUUACCAAGGCUUUGACGGGUAGCCGGCCUGAGAGGGUGGCCGGCCACAUUGGGACUGAGAUACGGCCCAGACUCCUACGGGAGGCAGCAGUGGGGAAUAUUGCACAAUGGGCGGAAGCCUGAUGCGGCAACGCCGCGUGCGGGAUGACGGCCUUCGGGUUGUAAACCGCUUUCGCCUGUGACGAAGCGUGAGUGACGGUAAUGGGUAAAGAAACACCGGCUAACUACGU
rnacentral:rRNA from 1 species